AAACCAUGAUGGGGGCACUUGUGUAGGAGAUCCUUGAAUCUCUCAUGUGCUUCGAAAAGUGUCUCGGAGUCCCCUUGCCGUAAUCCAGAAAUCUCUUCCCUCAAUCU